rnacentral:sRNA from 1 species
GCCAGGCACAAUGGCGCACACCUGUAAUCCCAGCAGCUUGGGAGGCUGAGGCAGGAGGAUCAUGAGUUCCAAGGCAGCCUCAGUAACUUAGUGAGGCCCUAAGCAACUCAGCGAGAUCCUGUCUCUA